AGCCACAGCCCCGAGCCCGGUCGCCUCACUUGGCGGACGUGAGGCCUGUAGUAAAGAGUAAAGCCUGAGGUAGAUUACCCCUCCCAUCGAGCACGUUAGUUUCCUGCUUACCGCGUAAGCAACCCGCUCAACAAUAUAGUCUGCCUGGCAACUGAUGAUGUUAGCCAAUCAGCUUGCCUUGCUUACUUUAACAUGAUUGGACACUGUAUCCGUAUAUAUACUGGUGCCACCCCUGGGGGGGAAGAAGAAGCCCGGAAGUAGAAGCCCAGAAGGAGCCGCGGGGAGCGGACCAGAGGAGGCUUCGGCUGGGAGCGAUCCCAGGGCAGGCUGUACGGAGAAGAAAAAUAAAAGAAAAGGUUGUCCACUGCCAGGCUUUGUCGUGUGUCCUUCCUGCCGGCCGGGAGCGGACAUCGACAUUUGGUGGCCCAUACGGGGACUGAUCACCCCCGAGACGUGACAGCGGACAACGCUCCAGUACAGAGCUGCGAGACAGGAAUCGGGACGAGAACCACUGUGGGUACCGGAGAGACUGACACAGGCGACAAAGCCCUCGACUGAAGAUCAGACCUGCCCUACCGGAGAUCCAUCACAGACCAACCAACAAGAUGAAUAGAAAUAGCGGUAGCCCGAAAUGGACAAGAAGAUCCUCAGACAUAUGCAUGGCUCGCUCGCCUAGCCUACGACCGAGUCUAGGGGUGGUGAGCUUCCCACACUCCUCCUCUAAAAAAUUAUGACAUAGCUGGGUAGGAGAGUCAAUGACGGGUAAGAGCGUACUCCCCCGGUGCGACUCAACCUAAGCCAGGCCCUACCCCAUCCUGCACGUAAGCCGCUGGACUGUUAGAUGCUGCCCAGGUCUAAAUUUCUCUCCGAGGGGAUUUCUUUACGGAGAGGAAAUGAGUGCAAGCUUGUGUGCAUCCAGGUUCCGUCCAGUUUGUGCCUGGCCCUAGAAAAAGGACGAGGGCCUCAGGGCCUUGGCAUACCAUGGGACGGCCGACCAGGGUCUAAGCCAAGGACCUACGGUGGGCCUACGCAUAGGGCAUAAGCCUCUGCACCCAGUCCAGAAAGAGCUACGAUGCGCACAUUCAUAAAAAAUAAAAAAGGGGGAGAUGUUGGGAGCCGCAGCCCCGAGCCCGGUCGCCUCACUUGGCGGACGUGAGGCCUGUAGUAAAGAGUAAAGCCUGAGGUAGAUUACCCCUCCCAUCGAGCACGUUAGUUUCCUGCUUACCGCGUAAGCAACCCGCUCAACAAUAUAGUCUGCCUGGCAACUGAUGAUGUUAGCCAAUCAGCUUGCCUUGCUUACUUUAACAUGAUUGGACACUGUAUCCGUAUAUAUACUGGUGCCACCCCUGGGGGGGAAGAAGAAGCCCGGAAGUAGAAGCCCAGAAGGAGCCGCGGGGAGCGGACCAGAGGAGGCUUCGGCUGGGAGCGAUCCCAGGGCAGGCUGUACGGAGAAGAAAAAUAAAAGAAAAGGUUGUCCACUGCCAGGCUUUGUCGUGUGUCCUUCCUGCCGGCCGGGAGCGGACAUCGACAUCCCUUUGCAAAGCUGUCACAUUUUCCACGUGAGUGGACACUAUCCCUCUGAUUCCGUGAUUUUGGAAAUAGAGGAAACCCUGGCCUAUCACAGACGCACCAGUUUGACCAGUUUCUUAGCCGUGCUCACACUGAUGAAAAGGAAAUGUAUGUACCUGUUUUGCUUUUUUAAGAAGAUUAAAUGAACUGUUGUCAUCAAAGUCUUUAUGGCAGUAUUUGCAUCACAGGAGAUAAACAAACACGGGGCCUAUACUCAAGUCUCUGCUGCACCUGUUUUUGUAGCUACUCUUCUAUCAGCAAACCUUAUUCAAAGAACUCUAGAGUGGCUGAAGUACAUUUACCUGAAAAUGGAAAGGUGGACGGGGCUCAUGGCAAGGAUGCUUACAAGGUAAAUAUGUGAAGAGAUGCAUCGUUGUCAGGAAAGGGAAAUUUUGUAUUUAUUCAUUUCAUGUCUGUAGAGCAUUUAAUGGAUGCACAAUAAAUGAUGAGAACACGGA